AUGGCUGACAUGCAAAACACGGUAGAAAGAUUGGGAAGGGUAGUGGGCCACCUGGAGGUAGUACCCCCUGCCCCUGACACUGUGGAUAUGGACACAGUUCAAAAUUAGGGGCAGGUCCUCCAUGUGUCCAGGCAUUUGACUUGCUGCUUGCCUGUCCUGUGGCAGAGUACUUGAAGGUCAGCAGAGAGGUUGAGGGAGAUGUGCAGAAACAUGCGAACAUGGUCCGUGUGGAUCUGGAGUUGAAGCAAGCUCUCUUAGUACAGCCUCUCAGGAUAAGCAGCCAACAGACUUUCUGAUUCGUUGUCACCCAUCUCAGAGCAGAUCUAAGAAGUGAUAGUUUUUCUGAAGAAGUACCUGUCAGCUGUCCAUGAAAGUAUCCAGGCCCUGGGCCCGAUGUGGCUCCCAAGCCUGGCCUCUAUGUGACAGAAAUGAAUGAUGCUGCCCUGUUUUAUAUAAACUGAGUCCUCAAGGAAUACAAGGAUAUGAAUAAGAAGCAUCUAGCUGGGUCAAAGCUUACUUGAGUAUACGGACAGAGCUACAGGCUUAACUCAGUAAUGGAGUGCAAUACCACUGGACUGGCCUGGAGCAAGAUGAGGCCUGUGGCAAAAGAACUGAGUGGUUUACCAUCUGGACCCUCUGCUGGAUCAGCCCUCCUCCUCCACUCACAGGCCCACCACUUCCCAUUACCCUAGUCCCCACCAGUUCAAGCUCUGCUGAGUCUGCAUCCUGCUCAGCACUGUCUGCACAGAUUAAUCAGGGGAAGAACAUCACACGUCUUAAAAUAUGUAUCUAAUGACGCGAAAACUCACAAGAAUACUACCUUGAAGACAGAGUGGUCCAGUACGGUGUGGCCCCAAAUCACUCUCUGCAUUCAAAACCCAGACCAGCCCAUCUCCCAAACCAGCCAAGAAGAAGUAGCCAGCUCUACUUGAACUGGGAGGGCAGGAAGUGGAGAGUGGAAAAUCAGUCUGGUGAUUGAUGACCCAGAGCUGAAACAGGUGGUUUACAUAUACAAGUGUGUCAACACGGCGUUGCAAAUCAAGGGCAAAAAUAACUCCAUUACAGUAGAUAGCUGUAAGAAACUUGGUCUGGUAUUUAACGACGUGGUGGGCAUGUUGGAGAUUAUCAAUAGUAGGGAUGUCAAAGUUCAGGUAAUGGGUAGAAUGCCAACCAUUUCCAUCAACAAAACAGAUGGCUGUCAUGCUCACUUGAGCAAGAAUCCCCUGGAUUGUGUGAUAGUCCAUGCCAAAUCUUCUGAGAUGAACAUCCUCCUUCCUACAGAAGGUGGUGACUUUAUGAGUUUCCAGGCCCUGAGCAGUUCAAGACCCUACAGAAGCCAGAGGUUAGUCACCACAGCGACAGAAAUUGCUGGAUAAUAAAUGCUGCUGUAUUCCUUGCCCUCUCUCUUCACUCCAGAGGUUAAAUCUGCAUCACGACAGUUCUUCUCUAGACUCGCUUGACUUUUGUGCUUUAAAACUGAGACGCACAGCUUCCCAGGCUGAGAUUUGGGAUGGGAUAUUAGGUCAACCACACCAGCAGUCCAUUCUUAAGGAACUGCAAACCCGAACUGCUGCAUUUUAAUUUUUAGCUUUUGGGGGUUAUUCUACAAGCACACAAUCUUUUGAGAAGAAUAAAACAAUCCCAGGAAUUAACUGAUCAGAAUGUUCAUAGUAGUUAAUCUUUUCCUAACUAUGAGCAUAAAGGUAGCAGAAACUUGUGUUGGCUCCAGACACUUCUUUUAACAAAGCUAAUUUUUCACUGAUCACAGGUGAGGGAAUAUGUUGCACUGCACCAAAGGCUGAGGCUAGGCUCUUUAGAAUUCUGAGCAAAAUUGAUUCGUAUAAGCAUUCCUUUUACUCUGCCUCAGCCAUGAGCUAGGAGGUUCUUUGGUACCAGCUGCUAUAGCAGUGUCCUCCGUGCAGGGCAGUUAAAGGUGUCUUGGACCCUUUCUUUCUCUGGGACCCCUGCCCAGCACCUUCCUACAGAGAUGACUUGAAAGGGAAAUAAAGGAAAAAUACCACCUCAUUGCAAGGAGUCUCCCCUUGCUCCUUGCCUGCUAGAUGCCUGUCGUCCAUCGUCACUACCUCCUGUCCCCUGUCAUGCUCAGCAACUUACAGCUUCUGUCUAGGCACCUGACCAGGGGGCUAAAAGCUACACUGCAGGCUGGUUUUAGGUAUCGGUUUGUGUAAGAAUCUCCUACAGCAUUGCUAAUGUAAAUUUCAGUUCUCCUCCUAGGAUAAACAAUAACCAACAUCUGCAACUUUUUUUUGGCAAGAAGAGAGAUUGUCCUGUG